AUGCGGCCUUCACGGGGGGAUCUCGCCGUCCUCUGCCGCUGCUUCCUGCUCCUGCUGCUCCCUUUCCUGUCCCAUGGCAAGGACAUGCCCCUGGGCUCCACCCUCUCGCCGGGCGGCAACUCGGCCGCGUGGUCCUCGCCCAACUCCACCUUCUCCCUCGCCUUCGCGCCGUCCCCGACCGCGCCCUCGCUCUCCGUCGCCGCCGUCACCUACGCCGGCGGCAUCUCCGUCUGGUCCGCGGGCGCCGGCGCGCCCGUAGACUCGGGGGGCUCGCUCCGCCUCUCCUCCACCGGCGACCUGCAGCUGGUCAACGGCUCCGGCGCCGUGCUCUGGUCGUCCGGCACCGCCGGCCAGGGCGUCUCCGCGGCCGCCCUCCAGGAGAGCGGCAACCUCGUGCUCAAGAACUCCACGGGGGGCGCCCUGUGGCAGUCCUUCGACCACCCCACGGACACCGUGGUCAUGUCCCAGAACUUCGCCUCCGGCAUGAACCUCACCUCGGGCCCCUACGUCUUCGCCGUCGACCGCGCCACCGGCAACCUCACGCUCAGGUGGGCCACCGCCGGCUCCGCCACCGUCACCUACUUCAACAAGGGGUACAACUCCACCUUCACCGCCAACAAGACGCUCAGCUCCCCGACGCUCACGAUGCAGACCAACGGCAUCGUCUCCCUCACCGACGGCACGCUCAACGCCCCCGUCGUCGUCGCCUACAGCAGCAACUACGGCGAGAGCGGCGACAUGCUGCGCUUCGUGCGCCUCGACUCGGACGGCAACUUCCGCGCCUACAGCGCCGGGCGCGGCAGCGGCACGGCCACGGAGCAGUGGUCCGCGGUGGCGGACCAGUGCGAGGUGUUCGGCUACUGCGGCAACAUGGGCGUGUGCGGCUACAACGGCACGUCGCCGGUGUGCGGGUGCCCGUCGCGGAACUUCCAGCUCAACGACGCCUCCAACCCCCGCAGCGGCUGCAAGCGCAAGGUGGAGCUCCAGAACUGCCCGGGCAACUCCACCAUGCUCCAGCUCGACAACACGCAGUUCCUCACCUACACGCCGGAGAUCACCACCGAGCAGUUCUUCGUCGGCAUCACCGCAUGCCGCCUCAACUGCCUCUCCGGCAGCUCCUGCGUCGCCUCCACCGCGCUCUCCGACGGCUCCGGCCUCUGCUUCCUCAAGGUCUCCAACUUCGUCAGCGCCUACCAGUCGGCGUCGCUCCCCAGCACGUCCUUCGUCAAGGUCUGCUUCCCCGGCGAGCCCAACCCGCCCCUCAGCACCGGCGACUCGUCCUCCUCGGGGUCCUCCGGCCUGCGCGGGUGGGUCGUGGCCCUGGUCGUCCUCGGCGUGGUGUCCGGGCUGGUGCUGGCCGAGUGGGCGCUGUGGUGGGUGUUCUGCCGGAACAGCCCGAAGUACGGGCCGGCGUCGGCGCAGUACGCGCUGCUGGAGUACGCGUCCGGCGCGCCGGUGCAGUUCUCGUACCGCGAGCUGCAGAGAUCAACCAAGGGGUUCAAGGAGAAGCUGGGCGCCGGCGGGUUCGGCGCGGUGUACCGCGGCGUGCUGGCGAACCGGACGGUGGUGGCCGUGAAGCAGCUGGAGGGGAUCGAGCAGGGGGAGAAGCAGUUCCGGAUGGAGGUGGCCACCAUCAGCAGCACGCACCACCUCAACCUGGUCCGCCUCAUCGGCUUCUGCUCCGAGGGCCGGCACCGGCUGCUCGUCUACGAGUUCAUGAAGAACGGCUCGCUGGACUCCUUCCUCUUCGGCGCCGGCAACAGCAACAGUAACGACAGCGGCAAGGCGAUGUCGUGGGCGACGCGGUUCGCGGUGGCCGUGGGCACGGCGCGCGGCAUCACGUACCUGCACGAGGAGUGCCGCGACACCAUCGUGCACUGCGACAUCAAGCCGGAGAACAUCCUCCUCGACGAGCAGCACAACGCCAAGGUGUCGGACUUCGGUCUCGCGAAGCUCAUCAACCCCAAGGACCACCGGCACCGGACGCUGACCAGCGUGCGCGGCACCAGGGGGUACCUGGCGCCGGAGUGGCUCGCCAACCUGCCCAUCACCGUCAAGUCGGACGUGUACAGCUACGGCAUGGUCCUGCUGGAGACGGUGAGCGGCCACCGGAACUUCGACAUCUCGGAGGAGACGAACCGGAAGAAGUUCUCGGUGUGGGCGUACGAGGAGUACGAGAAGGGGAACCUCCUGCCGAUCGUGGACCGGCGGCUGGCCGGGGAGGAGGUGGACAUGGCGCAGGUGGAGCGCGCGCUGCAGGUGAGCUUCUGGUGCAUCCAGGAGCAGCCCUCGCAGCGGCCGACCAUGGGCAAGGUGGUGCAGAUGCUGGAGGGGAUCAUGGAGCUGGAGCGGCCGCCGCCGCCCAAGUCGUCGGACAGCUUCAUGACGGUGACCACGGCCACCACGGGCGGCGGCUCGGGCAGCGGCGUGAGCAGCAGCGUGGCGUCGACGUUCGCGUCGUCGGUGGCGGCGCCGCCGGCGCCCGUGCCGUCGCCGAACGUGGAGCAGGAGAUGUCCGUGGGGCGGUCGGCCUCCGCCCGCACCCGCGAGAUCGCGUCGCUCCCGCUGCGCUCGUCGGAGCCAUACAUGACAAUGUGA
rnacentral:rRNA from 1 species